UACGGAGGGUGCGAGCGUUAUCCGGAAUCACUGGGUUUAAAGGGUGCGUAGGCGGUCUGAUAAGUCAGUUGUGAAAUUCCUCGGCUUAACCGAGUGGACUGCGAUUGAUACUGUCAGACUUGAAUCAGGUUGAGGUAGGCGGAAUGUGACAUGUAGCGGUGAAAUGCUUAGAUAUGUCAUAGAACACCGAUUGCGAAGGCAGCUUGCGUGGGCUUAGAUUGACGCUGAGGCACGAAAGCGUGGGGAGCAAACAGG
rnacentral:rRNA from 1 species